AUCGCUUCGUAUGCUCAGAUCAAGUCGUAAUCUAUCUGUUCUUAUCGACAGUUUAAUAUCUGAUCGUCCCCAUCAAAGGAUUACACAUAUUAAAUGGAUUUUCCGAACAGAAAGUGGAAAUGGGAGCUUGCUCCGUCCGCUCCGCGCCGACCGGUAUUACCAUACCUCCGGGAAAUUACCACUUUUU